rnacentral:rRNA from 1 species
UGCCAGCAGCCGCGGUAAUACGGAGGGGGUUAGCGUUAUCCGAAAUGACUGGGCGUAAAGAGUCCGUAGACUGUACUGUAAGUUAUUUGUUAAAUCCUAAAGCCCAACUUUAGAACAGCAUUUAAUACUACUUUACUUGAGUUUUGUUCGGAAGAGUAGAAUUCCACGUUUAGGGAUAAUCCCCGUAGAUAUGUGGAGGAACACCAUUAGCGAAGGCGACUCUUUGGUAAAAACUGACGUUGAGGGACGAAAGUGUAGGGAGCAAACAGGAUUAGAUA